ACGGGGGUUGCGAGCGUUGUCCGGAAUUACUAGGCGUAAAGGGCAGGUAGGCGGAUCUAUAAGUUUGAUGUUAAAGGCGACGGCUUACCCGUCGUAAGGCAUUAGAUACUGUAGAUCUAGAAUGCGGUUGGGGAAGACAGAAUUCCCGGUGUAAGGGUGAAAUCUGCAGAGAUCGGGAGGAACACCAGUCGCGAAGGCGCUUUACUGGAUCACUACUGACGCUGAGGGACGAAAGCCAGGGGAGCAAACGG
rnacentral:rRNA from 1 species